UUCCUUAAUCGUCGUGCCCUAAUCUCACUCACGUCGAACCAAUCCUCACACACCCGAUCCCCUCUCCUUCUCCCCUCUCGCGAUCCUCUUCGUCUCCUCCCCUCCCUCUCACGACACCACUUGACCUCUUCGGCUCCUCCACCCGACGGCGCCGUCACAACACUUCCUCUUCUCUCUCGUGGACAAAAGGGGCGACCAAAAGGAAACUUGGCACUUUUCUCCCGAGUCUUAGCCGACGUCGAUCCCUCUCUGUGUCGCUACCGGCUACCACGGACUGACACCGAUCGUCGCCACCUAUCACCGCUUGUCGCCGAAGUCAUGCCCUAGAUUUUCCCUUUGCUGCACAGCACCCUAGGUGUCGCCCUCUUCCUGCACGGAGCAACGCCGAUGCCGCAAAUCGAAGCCAGCCGACCAUCAGCUACACGAGCUCCUCUCCCUAUCUCCUCACUAUAGGCGCAACGCUCGGUGCCCUAGCUUCCAUCUCCGCCGCUGACGAUGGGUUGUUGCCGACCAUGGAGAUAGAAGUUGGUCCCACAUCUUCAUCCCUGGUCCUUGUGCCCUAGACCGUCGACUCUUGGUGUCUCUUCAUCACGGUACCAGUCGGUCUUCUCACGCCGCUUCUCAUUGCUCUGGUUCACCGCCACAGUAACUUUGGGGAGGAGGUUACGAAUCUAGUUUUGGGGUAUCCAGUGUUGAACCUCAAUCUGGUAGUGGCGAAUUCUUAGUCUUUUCUUGAUCCGAGUAGCGAGGUGAAUUUCCAGCAGGACUCUGAUUUGUGAUGAGCUACCUUACGUGAGAUUACCUUUGGCACGCGAUAUAUUGGAGACAGGUUGAUGCUGUCAGGAGGUUCCAGUCGCUAGUCCCCCACCACUUUGCUUCGCGACGAUUUUAUACACUUUGGACUUUUGGUUCCGUACUCGAGGAGUUUUAUCGAGUUUUUGAUCUACUACACUUCUUUUUUCGUUGUGUUGGUUUCUCUGUCGUGGUUUUAAGGUUUCCAUCAUUAUAAUGGAGUAGGUGGUUUUCAAAUAUAAACUGCGUGGUUGUAUCAGCCAGAGGCUGAUAUAUAUAUAAACUGAGUGGUUGUUUAGUUAUGUUUAUUGUUAUUAUUCCGGUCGUGUUGGCCGAGGUAUAUGUGGCCUUGAGGGCCUUG